CGCACACUGACGCUCAGGCGCGAUAGCGUGGGUAGCACACAGGAUUAGAUACCCUGGUAGUCCACGCCAUGUACGAUGGGUACUAGGUGUCGGGGGUAUCGACCCGUCCGGUGCCGCAGUUAACGCACUAAGUACCCCGCAUGGGGAUUAUGGUCGCAAGGCUGAAACUCAAAGGAAUUGACGGGGCCCCGCACUAGCGAUGGAGCAUGUGGUAUAAUUCGACGCUACGUGAUAGAACCUGACCCGGGCUUGACAUGCUUGGGACAGCGCUGGAUACAGCGUCUCUCCUUCGGGAGCCCUUGCACAGGUGCUGCAUGGCUGUCGUCAGCUCGUAUCGUGAGAUGUUGGGUUAAGUCCCGCAACGAGCGCAACCCUCGUUACUAGUCGCCAUCAGUUCGGAUGGGCACUCUAGUGAGACUGCCGGUGAUAAACCGGAGGAAGGUGAGGAUGAUGUCAAGUCAUCAUGGCCCUUACGCCCAGGGCUACACACGUGCUACAAUGGUCGGCACAAAGGGUCGCUAAGCCGCGAGCUGGAGCUAAUCCCCAAUAGCCGGCCUCAGUUCGGAUUGGAGUCUGCAACCCGACUCCAUGAAGCCGGAAUCG
rnacentral:rRNA from 1 species